CUUACGGAGAGUUUGAUCCUGGCUCAGGACAAACGCUGGCGGCGUGUAUUAGGCAUGCAAGUCGAGCGAGAAGCCGGCCUUCGGGCUGGUGGAGAGCGGCGGACGGGUGAGUAACACGUGGGUAACCUGCCCUGGAGUGGGGGAUAACCCGGCGAAAGCCGGGCUAAUACCGCAUACGACUCCCGAUGCGAGAUCGGGUAGUGAAAACUCCGGUGCUCCGGGAGGGGCCCGCGGCCGAUUAGCUAGUUGGUGAGGUAACGGCCCACCAAGGCGACGAUCGGUAGCUGGUCUGAGAGGAUGAUCAGCCACACGGGGACUGAGAACGGCCCCGACUCCUACGGGAGGCAGCAGCUAAGAAUCUUGCGCAAUGGGCGAAAGCCUGACGCAGCAACGCCGCGUGCGGGAGGAAGGCCUUCGGGUUGUAAACCGCUUUUGCGAGGGAAGAAGUUCUGACGGUACCUCGCGAAUAAGUCACGGCUAACUACGUGCCAGCAGCCGCGGUAAUACGUAGGUGACAAGCGUUGUCCGGAUUUACUGGGCGUAAAGCGCCCGCAGGCGGCCCGGCAAGUUUCAGGUGAAAUCUCCCGGCUCAACCGGGAGGGGUCCUGGAAAACUGCCAGGCUUGAGGCAGGGAGGGGAAUGCGGAAUUUCCGGUGUAGCGGUGAAAUGCGUAGAUAUCGGAAGGAACACCAGCGGCGAAGGCGGCAUUCUGGCCCUGUCCUGACGCUCAGGGGCGAAAGCGUGGGGAGCGAACCGGAUUAGAUACCCGGGUAGUCCACGCCGUAAAC
rnacentral:rRNA from 1 species